rnacentral:rRNA from 1 species
GACGAACGCUGGCGGCGUGCCUAAUACAUGCAAGUCGAGCGAAGCGGCGGAUGGGUGAGUAACGCGUGGGUAACCUGCCCUUAAGUCUGGGAUACCAUUUGGAAACAGAUGCUAAUACCGGAUACUAAAGGAUGGACCUGCGAUGCAUUAGCUAGUGGGUAAGGUAACGGCUUACCAAGGCGAUGAUGCAUAGCCGGGUUGAGAGGAGGAUCGGCCACAGUGGAACUGAGACACGGCCCAAAAUCCUACGGGAGGCAGCAGUGGGGAAUAUUCCACAAUGGACGAAAGUCUGAUGUAGCAAUGCCGCGUGAGUGAAGAAGGUUUUCGGGUCGUAAAGCUCUGUUGUUGGGGAAGCGGUAAUCAACCAGAAAGUCACGGCUAACUACGUGCCAGCAGCCGCGGUAAUAC